ACAGUGAUGGUUCAGUGGUAGAAUUUUCACCUUCCAUGUGAGGGACCCAGGUUCGAUUCCUGACCAGUGUA
rnacentral:tRNA from 1 species